UAUGUGAUCGUCUCUCGCAUAUCAAUAAGCGGAGGAAAAGAAACUAACAAGGAUUCCCCUAGUAACGGCGAGUGAAGCGGGAAGAGCUCAAAUUUGAAAUCUUAAAGGGUUUCCCUUUACGAAUUGUAGUUUAAAGAAGUGUUUUCUGUUGAGGUUUUGGUAAAAGUUCUUUGGAAUAGGACAUCAUAGAGGGUGAGAAUCCCGUAUUUGACCUUUACUUUCAACUUUGUGAUACACUUUCAAAGAGUCGGAUUGUUUGGGAAUGCAGUCCAAAAUGGGUGGUAAAUUUCAUCUAAAGCUAAAUAUUGGCGAGAGACCGAUAGCGAACAAGUACCGUGAGGGAAAGAUGAAAAGAACUUUGAAAAGAGAGUUAAACAGUACGUGAAAUUGUCAAAAGGGAAGCGUUUGACACCAGUGUUGUUUUUCUGAAAAUCAAUUAAAGAACUGUUUAUGCUAAGCUGUUUAGACUUUAUCAGCUAUCUGCUUAGUUUUGAGCUUUUCUUUAAUGCACUUUUCAGUUAACAAGUCAACAUCAAUUUCUUUUGCUGUAAAAAAGCUUGAGGAAGGUGGCUUGAGAUUCGUCUUAAGUGUUUAUAGCCUCUUGCCUAUGCAGUCGGAGAGAUUGAGGUCUGCAGCGUAGAUCCUUCGGGGCUAAAUGCAUUUGUGCUAAGUUAUAGCAUUUUAUAGACAACUUGUUGACUAUGAUUUGUCUUGUAGCUUACUCGCUUAUGUUAUUUACCUACGCUUAGGAUGUUGACACACGCGCGUGCUCG
rnacentral:rRNA from 1 species